UACAGAGGGGGCAAGCGUUAUUCGGAAUUAUUGGGCGUAAAGGGCGCGUAGGCGGCUUUUCAAGUGACGGGUGAAAUCCCUCGGCUUAACCGAGGAACUGCCUGUCAGACUGGAAGGCUUGAGACCGGGAGAGGUGAGUGGAAUUCCCAGUGUAGCGGUGAAAUGCGUAGAUAUUGGGAGGAACACCAGUGGCGAAGGCGGCUCACUGGCCCGGUACUGACGCUGAGGUGCGAAAGCGUGGGGAGCAAACAGG
rnacentral:rRNA from 1 species